ensembl:lncRNA
CUCAGCCCGUCCCUUUCUCCACACUGUUACCGGGAGGGCACUGAAGACUCUUGCCCACUGCUCUCCAGGAGGACGGAGCGGCUGCAAUGGGAACAGAGAGGGAAGGUGCAGUGAUGCAGCUGGCUUCUGCUGGAGGUUGUGAGCAAGAAAUGCCAGAAGCUGCCCAACAGCGUGAAGCUCUCUGUUCUGGUAAGCGCAGUGUGGGUGCUUCCUGGCAGGUGGUGGAACCCCCCAGUGCUCCCAAGCCAGUUCUCUGUUCCCUGGGCUCUGCUCAGCACUUGAGCCCCUGUUUGUCCCCCAGCUCUUGGCUGAAGCUGAGGCUUCCCAGGGUGGUGCUGCUUGGCUGGGGGCUGCCCUCUGAAAGUGCGUACAUUCUCCCUCAGGUGGGGUGCAACACCCAGAGCCCAAUCCCCUCCAGCCUGCUUCCAGGGGUGCAAAGAGGAGCGGUACAUCUCUGGAGAAGCCGCUGGGAGGACGAAGGCAACAACGGACGUUAAAGAAGAGCUUCCUGCAGAGGAAAAAAGAAAGGAGGUCCACUGUCUCCUGCAUAGCUGACGUGGCCUUGGUGCAAUGUAGGGUCUGUCUCUGCUCUCGUCUUCAUGCCCAUGUUCUGUCUGACGGCCAGGUAUCCGAGGCUGAGCUUCUGGCUGGCACUGCGCUUUGUCUCAAGGAUCUCCUCUUUCACAAGCUCCCUCGGUUCCAUUUUCUCAUUUCUAGGUUUAAAGAAGUAUAAGCACAAGUUAUUUGCUAGCAACUUCUGUCUGCUGCGGUUCUGCUUGUUUCUUUCAGCCCGCCCCUCCCGUAUUGGUUUUCUUUCAGCUGUCAGUUCCUACUUUGCCAAUACUGUUAGCACAUUUCUUUUAUUUUUGCCAUGGCUGAGAAGGGGUGUGAGCUGCACAGAAAUGAAAAGAUUAAUAUAACUGGGGGCAUGCAGUCCUACGGCUCUGGAGUGAGCAGCUCCAUGUUUGUGCAGCAUGUGGGAAAGCUGCAGUCUGGACGUCCUGAACGUGAACGCUGCAGCUCAGCUCAGUGUGUGUCAGCCUCUGUCUGCAAGCAAACCCUCCCCGGCCAAAGGCCGAAGGCCAAAGGCCAAAUCCCAAAUCCCAAAUCCCAAAUCCCCGCCUCCAUUGCUAACAUCAGAGCACAGCAAGCCGUACGUGUGCAGAAGCAUCCCAGAUUCCUAUUGCUCUGUAGCGGUGCGCUAAAGAGGGCCUCGGUCCUACAGCCUCACGGCAGGAACUUGGCAAACAAGGAGCUUCUCACGGGACUGCUCACUUGCAUCCACUGCCAUCGCAUCCACAGCCCGCAGCCCGCAGCCCGCAGCCGUCGGGUGAAGCCCUCAAGAGUACAACGGAGGUCGAGUGCUGAAAGCACGGGAGAGUUCCCGCAGCAACUGCUGCUAACAGCAGACGCUCCCAGCAACUCCAAGGAAGCCCUGAGAGCCCCGAGCCGUGCCCCAGGACCGCUUCCUCUCUCGAUUCACCGCCACCGCCACGGGAAAAGCAGACGGGAAAAGGGCACCGACGAAAGCUGCCGAUCGCGUUCACGACGGAGGCACUGCCGGCACUCGGGAGGACGGGAGAGCCCGGGGCUACUCGGCUCGAAGCGCUUCCCGCCCGCCCCGUUUCCC